CCUACGGGAGACAGCAGUGGGGAAUAUUGGACAAUGGGGGAAACCCUGAUCCAGCGACGCCGCGUGAGCGAAGAAGGAUUUCGGGACGUAAAGCUCUAUCAGCAGGAAAGAUAAUGAUGGUACUUGACUAAGAAGCCCCGGCUAACUACGUGCCAGCAGCCGCGGUAAUACGUAGGGGGCUAGCGUUAUCCGGAUUUACUGGGCGUAAAGGGGGCGUAGGGGGCUGCCAAAGUCUGAGGUGAAAGGCUGGGGCCCAACCGGGGUAAGCCUUUGAAACUGGGAAACUGGAGUGCAGGAGAGGUGAGCGGAAUUCCUGGUGUAGCGGUGAAAUGCGUAGAUAUUAGGAGGAACACCAGCGGCGAAGGCGGCUUUCUGGACUGUAACUGACGUUGAGGCUCGAAGGCGUGGGGAGCAAACAGGAUUAGAUACCCCGGUAGUC
rnacentral:rRNA from 1 species